UACGGGGGGGGCAAGCGUUGCUCGGAAUCAUUGGGCGUAAAGCGCACGUAGGCGGUCUGUUAUGUCGGAUGUGAAAGCCCUCGGCUCAACUGAGGAAGUGCAUCCGAAACUGGCAGGCUAGAGUACUAAAGAGGGUCGCGGAAUUCCCGGUGUAGAGGUGAAAUUCGUAGAUAUCGGGAGGAACACCGGUGGCGAAGGCGGCGACCUGGGUAGAUACUGACGCUGAGGUGCGAAAGCGUGGGGAGCAAACAGG
rnacentral:rRNA from 1 species